GAUGAACGCUAGCGGCAGGCCUAACACAUGCCAGUCGAGGGGUAGAAGGAGCUUGCUCCUUUGAGACCGGCGCACGGGUGCGUAACGCGUAUGCAAUCUACCUUGUACAGGGGAAUAGCCCAGAGAAAUUUGGAUUAAUGCCCCAUAGUAUAUAACCUUCGCAUGUUGGUUAUAUUAAAGUUCCAACGGUACAAGAUGAGCAUGCGUCCCAUUAGUUAGUUGGUAAGGUAACGGCUUACCAAGACGAUGAUGGGUAGGGCUCCUGAGAGGGAGAUCCCCCACACUGGUACUGAGACACGGACCAGACUCCUACGGGAGGCAGCAGUGAGGAAUAUUGGUCAAUGGUCGCAAGACUGAACCAGCCAUGCCGCGUGCAGGAAGACGGUCCUAUGGAUUGUAAACUGCUUUUAUACAGGAAGAAACCCUCCCACGUGUGGGAGCUUGACGGUACUGUAGGAAUAAGGAUCGGCUAACUCCGUG
rnacentral:rRNA from 1 species